GAUAAACGCUGGCGGCGCACAUAAGACAUGCAAGUCGAACGGACUUAACCCGAUUCUUUACGAUUGGGAGCGGUUAGUGGCGGACUGGUGAGUAACGCGUGAGCAACCUGCCUAUUAGAGGGGAAUAACAAUGAGAAAUCAUUGCUAAUACCGCAUAUGCUUACAGUAUCGCAUGAUACAGUAGGAAAGGAGCAAUCCGCUAAUAGAUGGGCUCGCGUCUGAUUAGCUAGUUGGUGGGGUAACGGCCGUACCAAGGCGACGAUCAGUAGCCGGACUGAGAGGUUUGAACGGGCCACCAUUGGGGACUGAGAUACGGGCCCAGACUCCUACGGGAGGCAGCAGUCGGA
rnacentral:rRNA from 1 species